UGGGGAAUAUUGCACAAUGGGCGCAAGCCUGAUGCAGCAACGCCGCGUGAACGAUGAAGGUCUUCGGAUCGUAAAGUUCUGUUGCAGGGGAAGAUAAUGACGGUACCCUGUGAGGAAGCCCCGGCUAAAUACGUGCCAGCAGCCGCGGUAAUACGUAUGUUGCGAGCGUUAUCCGGAAUUAUUGGGCUUAAAGGGCAUCUAGGCGGUAAGACAAGUUGAAGGUGAAAACCUGUGGCUCAACCAUAGGCUUGCCUACAAAACUGUUGAACUAGAGUACUGGAAAGGUGGGUGGAACUACACGAGUAGAGGUGAAAUUCGUAGAUAUGUGUAGGAAUGCCGAUGAUGAAGAUAACUCACUAGACAGAAACUGACGCUGAAGUGCGAAAGCUAGGGGAGCAAACAGG
rnacentral:rRNA from 1 species